CGCUGGGUAGCUCAAGCGGUAGAGCGUUCUCUCUCCAGAGAGGGGAAGGUUGGUGGUUCAAGUCCAUCCCUGGCGGCCA
rnacentral:tRNA from 1 species